AAAUGCCCUCUCACGCGGCAGUGAAGAGAGAGUGUUGAUCCCUUCUCUUUGUGGAGGUGUGAAAACAGCUGCGGCACCUCCAGCCAAGCCUCUGGUUUCCUUUGGGGAGGUGGCCGUGUAUUUCAGAGAGGCAGAAUGGGCAUUACUGGAUCCAGACCAAAGAGCUCUCUACAAGAGCGUCAUGCUGGAGAACUUCAAGAGUGUGGCCUCUCUGGAAGCACAAGUAGAGGAGAUAGUUGGAGUAUUCCAGGGAUUCUGUGUGGAAAAAGCCAAGGAUCAAGAUUCAAAAGGAAAGUUGGAGGAUGGAGACAGGCCACAGAGUCAGGAGGAAAGCCAUGCAGACCAGAGAAGGGAGAAGCCCAUU